UACGUAGGGUGCGAGCGUUAAUCGGAAUUACUGGGCGUAAAGCGUGCGCAGGCGGUUUUGUAAGCCAGAUGUGAAAUCCCCGGGCUUAACCUGGGAAUGGCAUUUGGGGACUGCAAGGCUUGAGUGCGGCAGAGGAGACUGGAAUUCCUGGUGUAGCAGUGAAAUGCGUAGAUAUCAGGAGGAAUACCGGAUGGCGAAGGCAGGUCUCUGGGCUGACACUGACGCUCAUGCACGAAAGCGUGGGGAGCAAACAGG
rnacentral:rRNA from 1 species